rnacentral:rRNA from 1 species
AAUCAACGCUGGCGGCGUGCCUAACACAUGCAAGUCGAACGCGAGAGGGGCUUCGGCCCCGAUUGAGUGGCGAACGGGUGAGUAACGCGUGGGUGACCUACCUUCGAGUGGGGGAUAACGUCCCGAAAGGGACGCUAAUACCGCAUAGCAUCCUGCUUUUGAAUGGGUGGAGAUCAAAGCCGGGGAUCGCAAGACCUGGCGCUUGAUGAGGGGCCCGCGUCUGAUUAGCUAGNGGUGAGGUAACGGCCCACCAAGGCAACGAUCAGUAUCCGGCCUGAGAGGGCGGACGGACACACUGGGACUGAGACACGGCCCAGACUCCUACGGGAGGCAGCAGUGGGGAAUUGUUCGCAAUGGGCGCAAGCCUGACGACGCAACGCCGCGU